UACGAAGGGGGCUAGCGUUGCUCGGAAUCACUGGGCGUAAAGGGUGCGUAGGCGGGUCUUUAAGUCAGGGGUGAAAGCCCGGAGCUCAACUCCGGAACUGCCAUUGAAACUGUUGGACUUGAGUACGAGAGAGGUGAGUGGAAUUCCCAGUGUAGAGGUGAAAUUCGUAGAUAUUGGGAAGAACACCGGUGGCGAAGGCGGCUCACUGGCUCGUAACUGACGCUCAGGCGCGACAGCGUGGGGAUCAAACAGG
rnacentral:rRNA from 1 species